UACGUAGGGGGCAAGCGUUGUCCGGAAUCAUUGGGCGUAAAGAGCGUGUAGGCGGCUUGGUAAGUCCGCUGUGAAAGUCCAGGGCUCAACCCUGGAAUGCCGGUGGAAACUGUCAAGCUUGAGUCCGGAAGAGGCGAGUGGAAUUCCUGGUGUAGCGGUGGAAUGCGCAGAUAUCAGGAGGAACACCAACGGCGAAGGCAGCUCGCUGGGACGGUACUGACGCUGAGGCGCGAAAGCGUGGGGAGCGAACAGG
rnacentral:rRNA from 1 species